AAAGGUGGGGCCUAGCUCAAUAAAAAUGGUAAACAAACGUACGAUCUGUUGUUGCGGGGCUUCAUUAUGGACAAGAGUUAAUGCUUGGUUUCAAAUUGUAGGAAAGUCAUUGCUGCUACUUUUAGUUAUAAUUGCAAUAGCAGGUGUUGCUAAUUUAGAUCCCAGCCCGGAUAAUAUUGAAAACAGUGAGGUG